AUUGAACGCUGGCGGCAUGCCUUACACAUGCAAGUCGAACGGUAACGGGCCUUCGGUUGCCGACGAGUGGCGAACGGGUGAGUAAUACAUCGGAACGUGCCCGAUCGUGGGGGAUAACGAGGCGAAAGCUUUGCUAAUACCGCAUACGAUCUACGGAUGAAAGCCGGGGACCGCAAGGCCUUGCGCGGACGGAGCUGCCGAUGGCAGAUUAGGUAGUUGGUGGGAUAAAAGCUUACCAAGCCGACGAUCUGUAGCUGGUCUGAGAGGAUGAUCAGCCACACUGGGACUGAGACACGGCCCAGACUCCUACGGGAGGCAGCAGUGGGGAAUUUUGGACAAUGGGCGCAAGCCUGAUCCAGCCAUGCCGCGUGCAGGAUGAAGGCCUUCGGGUUGUAAACUGCUUUUGUACGGAACGAAAAGCCUUCUUUUAAUACAGGAGGGUCAUGACGGUACCGUAAGAAUAAGCACCGGCUAACUACGUG
rnacentral:rRNA from 1 species